GACGAACGCUGGCGGCGUGCCUAAUACAUGCAAGUAGAACGCUGAAGGAGGAGCUUGCUUCUCUGGAUGAGUUGCGAACGGGUGAGUAACGCGUAGGUAACCUGCCUGGUAGCGGGGGAUAACUAUUGGAAACGAUAGCUAAUACCGCAUAAGAGUAGAUGUUGCAUGACAUUUGCUUAAAAGGUGCAAUUGCAUCACUACCAGAUGGACCUGCGUUGUAUUAGCUAGUUGGUGAGGUAACGGCUCACCAAGGCAACGAUACAUAGCCGACCUGAGAGGGUGAUCGGCCACACUGGGACUGAGACACGGCCCAGACUCCUACGGGAGGCAGCAGUAGGGAAUCUUCGGCAAUGGACGGAAGUCUGACCGAGCAACGCCGCGUGAGUGAAAGAAAGGUUUUUCGGAUCGUAAAAGCUUCUGUUGUAAAGAGAAAGAAACGAAGUGU
rnacentral:rRNA from 1 species